CAUUAAGAAGCUAUGCAUCAGCACUAGCCUUUUAAGCUAGAGAAAGGGAACCAUCAAGCCCCCUUAAUGA
rnacentral:tRNA from 1 species